AGCGAACGCUGGCGGCAGGCCUAACACAUGCAAGUCGAACGAACUCUUCGGAGUUAGUGGCGGACGGGUGAGUAACACGUGGGAACGUGCCUUUUGGUUCGGAAUAACUCAGGGAAACUUGUGCUAAUACCGAAUGUGCCCUUCGGGGGAAAGAUUUAUCGCCAUUAGAGCGGCCCGCGUCUGAUUAGCUAGUUGGUGAGGUAACGGCUCACCAAGGCGACGAUCAGUAGCUGGUCUGAGAGGAUGACCAGCCACACUGGGACUGAGACACGGCCCAGAAUCCUACGGGAGGCAGCAGUGGGGAAUCUUGCGCAAUGGGCGAAAGCCUGACGCAGCCAUGCCGCGUGAAUGAUGAAGGUCUUAGGAUUGUAAAAUUAUUUCACCGGGGACGAUAAUGACGGUACCCGGAGAAGAAGCCCCGGCUAACUUCGUG
rnacentral:rRNA from 1 species